CUCACGUAUCAGCAUUUCUUGAUGUUUUCAGUGAGAAAUACACACUUCUUCCUCUUUUGGCAGUAUUUACGCUCUCCAGAGUCUCUCUGCUGCUCCUCAGGCAUAGGUUUGCUAUUUUAUAAAUGGCAUUAUGCAAAAAGACAAAGCUGAAAAAUUCCUUUGUGGGCUGCCUAUAUGCCAUGAUCUCCUUAAGAGAAAUGUUUACAAGAAUGAAGUUUCCGCCCUUUAAGAUUGUUUAAUAGAUGACAUUAUGAUCAACAGUUGCUUCAACCCUGCCAAGAGUGAAUCAUGUGUUAUUCUUCCUUUUCAGUGUGUCCUUUCUGGUGAGUGAAAUCUGACUUGGGCAAUGCUGUAGGGUGUAAGGAUGGGGAAAAUGAAAUAAAUUGCUGAUAAUUAUGACAGUUGACAGGAACCAAAGGAAACUGAAUCAGCCAGGCCCACAGAAAACUUCUGAGUCAAAUGUAAACACACCUUAUAAAUCAGAGCCUGCUGAUGAACCCUCCAAAGACACACCCAGAAGCUUCUGAGCAAAAAGCAAAGGAU
rnacentral:lncRNA from 1 species